UGGAUGUGUAGUGGGAAUUAGGGGAGAAGAUUAAGGGAUUUUGGGGGUUAUCGGGAUUUUAUUUUAUUUUUUUUCCAUAACUGAAUUUUGACUCUCUUUUUGAAAAAAAAUUUACCGUCUAUUUUUCUCUCUCUCCUCUUGCCAAAAUUGUCUGAGUUUUUCCAUCUUUUUCUUCUUUUCUUCUUCUUGAUUUUCUCUAAUCCAUUUAUUUUCCUUCGUUUUUGCACGCAGUUAGUGCUCGC
rnacentral:lncRNA from 1 species